rnacentral:rRNA from 1 species
GCCGAACGCUUUCUUCUUUCUUAACACAUGCAAGUCGAACGGAAAGGCCCCUUUGGGGGUACUCGAGUGGCGAACGGGUGAGUAACACGUGAGUAACCUGCCCUUGACUUCGGGAUAACUUCAGGAAACUGGGGCUAAUACCGGAUAGGAAUCCUUGCUGCAUGGUGGGGGUUGGAAAGCUUCGGCGGUUUUGGAUGGACUCGCGGCUUAUCAGCUUGUUGGUGGGGUAGUGGCUUACCAAGGCUUUGACGGGUAGCCGGCCUGAGAGGGCGACCGGCCACAUUGGGACUGAGAUACGGCCCAGACUCCUACGGGAGGCAGCAGUGGGGAAUAUUGCACAAUGGGCGGAAGCCUGAUGCAGCAACGCCGCGUGCGGGAUGACGGCCUUCGGGUUGUAAACCGCUUUCAGCAGGGGCGAAGCUUGUGGUGACGGUACCUGCAGAAGAAGCACCGGCUAACUACGUG